rnacentral:lncRNA from 1 species
CACCUACAAACAUUCCACACACAAAACAUAAUCAUGGAAUCCUUAAAGAAUAUCGUUUUCCUCAUCGUUGCUAUAUCUCUAGUUCUUCAAGCCACGGUGCCACCAACUGCGUUAGCCGCUCGUAACGAGGUUAUGUCCUCUGCCGCUGUAUCGAAAGUGGCUAAUGGUUCCAACGGUUUGGCUGUGGUUUUCGAGAAGGUAGGCUCUGGCUGCAAACCUAAAGGUUCGUUUUGCUUGUUUGACCUAACCAGUUGCUGUAGGCCUUGCGGAUGCCUUGCAGGGUGGUGCUAUAACUAUGAUCAUGAAUGCAAUGAGUACACAUAAUGGUCGCUACUGAGUUAAAAAGAAAAAAGAAUAACAGCUCUGAGUCAGAAAACGACAUGGGAUUCAAUUAUAAAUGUUCUAUAUAUAACAUAUGUAUUUGAAUAAAGAAUCUCUCGUGUUAUGUCCCUGUUUGGUUGAGCUCUGCCAUUGUUGUAAGAGUUCAUGUUUUUCGUCUUCUCGUUGGUGUGUUGGUAUUGUGUGUACCCUUGUUAUUGGCAUAUGUAAUGAUAACUAAGUUUACGAGUAUUUACCUAUUUUCUUUUAUGUAUAAUAAUUUGAUACUAUUGCUAACUUUUUUUUAUGCACUUUUAACAUUGGUAAAUGUUAAAACUUUUUUUAUAAAUAAAUCUAAUAAAUAAAUUUUCAAGUAAAUAAAAAAUAAAGAAUCAUGAAGUUGAUUUAUUAUUUUCUUAUUCGAAAGGGAUAAAGAUAAUGUGGAAUAACAGUUUUAUACCAUUCUUUUAUAACAUUUUUCUAAAAAAUAAUUUAAGCCUCUUGCUCAAUUUUAAAUAUAAAAUACUUAUUUUAUAUUAUUUUAAAAAAAUUAAAAUUAAUUAUUCGAUUCGAUUCAGGGUUUUAACUUGAAAACCAAAACGAGUGAGUACUAGCCUACUAGAGUACGUAGAUCCAAUUAGCAAAUCAACACUAGUUUAUACGUGCUUCCUUUGAACCGCUUCCAAAUCAGCUCCAAAAAACUGCUAGAGGCUCGAGCAACUUAAAAACCUCAAAAAAAAUAAAAAUUAUAGAGCUGAAAAGCACAAAAAAUGCACCGUUGCAGAGGCAGGUGAGCUGAAAAACUAGCAGCUGAAAGGGACAAACCCGUCACGUGCAGCUCUCCAAUAGCAGGUCAUGGAAUUCAGUGAAGAAAAACCACAGCAGGCAUAAGCAGCACAAAACCAGACCCAAACAGCUCAAAAAACAGAGUUGAAACAGUUGAUUAGACCCAAACCAGCUCGAAUCAGUAGCAUCAUUUUCUAUAUAAAGGCCUCCUCCACCUACAAACCAUUCCUCACACAAAACAUAAUCAUGGAGUGGUGCAAGAAGUUCGCUUUUCUGAUGGUUGCAAUGGUGCUUCUUCAAUCCAUGGUGCCUCCGACAGCAUUAGCUGCUCGUAACAAUGUUAUGGAAUACAAUCCAUUGGCAAGCGUAUUCUCGAGGGAAGGCCCUGGCUGCAUCGCAAAAGGCGGGUUUUGCUUGUUUGACCUAACCAGUUGCUGUAGGCCAUGCGGAUGCCUUGCAGGGUGGUGCUAUAACAUUGAUCAUGAUUGCAAAGAGUACACAUAAUGGU